GCUCAGCGGUCUGGAACUUGCAGGAACAUGAGGAAUCCAUGAAUAAAUGUCUCCUGGCAGUCACCUGCUUGCUUAAACUCUUGACGGCUUCCCUCAGCAAUUAAAACAGCAUCCACCCCUGCCUUUUUAGGGCCCAGGAGGUCCUACUUGAUCUGGCUCUCACCUGUCUUUCCAAUCUCCCUUCAUUCUUCUCCAGUACGCUCCGGCUGCUGCACUGGCCUUAUCCUGUGCCUUGGACAUACUCAAGUUUAUCUUCACCUUAGAGCCCUUGAACUUGCUGCUCCUGCCCAUGACCAGCUUCUCAUUUUGGACACAGCUCCAGGGUCACCUCCUCAGAACGGCUUUUCCUCCCCAACUCCAGUUCUCUCUGUCACAUCACCAUUGAAUUGCCCUUAUGCUCCCUUUCAUGACUUUCCGCUCACUUCUCAACCCCUGCCUGUCUUCCCUUGCAAGAAGAAGAUCCCUCUGCAUAAUAUGGAAGAUGAACUGAAGGUGAACCAUGAUGGCAGCAGUAAAGAGCUGCUGAGAUCAACUUAAAAGAUGUAGAAAUACUUGAACACUCUAUUGAAAAUUUUUAGAUGAGCACACUGAUACUCAAGGAUGGCAUUCCCUAAUUUCUUGUCACCAUUCAACUAUGUUCUGGCCAAUGAGAUCCAACAAAGUGUUGUGUGGGAUUUCUAGAAAAAUCUAUAAGAAGGAGAAGUUUCGGCAGUGAAGCUCAGCCAGUCCCAGCACCCGGAAGGAACCUCCUCACCUCCAUCCCAGGCUCCUAGGGCAGUGCAGGUCAGCCGGUCCCAGCACCCAGAAGGAAGCUCCCUGCCUCCAUCCCAGGCUCCUAGGGCAGUGAAGCUCAGCCAGUCCCAGCACCAAGAAGGAAGCUCCCCUGCUGCCAUCCCAAGCUCCUAGGGCACAGAAGUUGAGCCGCAUGGGUGCCAGAGGCACCACCCCCCCACACAUGGAAAUGAGAAGACACAUAAACAAGCCUCAAAAACAGACUUCCAGAUCACCUACAGCAACCCCAAAGGGAAAUGAGAUGGAACACUCUGAUACUCAACCACCUGGACUCUCUGAACUGGCAACAAAAGAGGAUCUGGGAAAAAUGAAAUCAGAAAUAAUUACUCAGAUAACAGCAAAGAUUUUGCUCAUGGUACAAGACAUGAUUAAUAAAUCUAGGGAGGACACAGAUAAAAAAAUAGAGGAUCUGAGGAAUAUGAUGGAAUCCCAACAUAGGAAACAAAUGGAAUCCAUAAAACAGAUACAAAUAGAUUUCCAGGAGAUUAAAAACUCCAUCGAAAGUCUGUGCAGCAGAAUGAACCAAGGUGAGGAUAGAAUUUCACAUAUAGAAGAUAAGAUUGCAAUUAAUGACCAGGAAAAGAAAAAUUAUUUCAAAAUAAUAAGCGAACACGAGAAAUCAAUCCAGCAGCUGCUAGAUGAUGCAAAGAAGAAUAACAUAAGACUGAUUGGAGUCAAUGAAGAAAGAGGAGAGAGUGCAGAUGACAUAAAAAAACUGUUCACAGAAGUGGUGGCAGAAAACUUCCCAAGAAGGGGAAAAGAACUUGACAUACAGAUAAGUGAGGCAUAUAGGACUUCAAAUAGCCUUGAUCAAAAAAAAAUCUACAUAUAGGCAUAUAAUAGUUAGGAUUCCAGAAAUCCAACAGAAGAAUAAAAUUCUACAAGCAGUGAGAGAAAAGAACCAAAGCACAUACAAAGGAAAGCCCAUCAGAAUCACAGCAGACUUCUCAACGCAAACCCUCAAGGCAAGAAGAGCUUGGAGUGAUGUAUCUCAAGCCCUAAAGGAAAACAGCCUCCAACCCAGAUUGAUGUACCCUGCAAAACUAUCUUUCAAAAUUGAUGGAGAAAUAAGAUACUUUCAUGAUAAAGAGCACCUCAGGAACUUCAUGAAUACCAAACUGGCACUCCAAAAAAUUUUAGACAAUACCCUAGAAAAAGACAAUGAGGAUCACAACCCGAGGAAACCCAGCAGAAUGAAUCCAUUGGGGGUGACAAAUUAAACGCAAAGGGGGAGAAUCCAACAAAAAGAAAAAGUCAUGACAAGGCUUUUAAAACUUUUGACUUUCCCUAAUGAGUAUAUAAUUCAAUCUUAUUAUUGUACUGAUUAGUAUUUUUCUGAUUCUAGAGUUGCACACCAUUCCUUGUGCUAUGCUGGCUAUUUAUCAUCUUAUGUCUACAUUUUAAUUGGGUUGUCUAUUAAUGAGCUCUAAGAAUUCUUUAUAUAUUCUGCUCAUAGGUUAUAUGCAUUGUAAAUAUGGUCUGUUUAAGGACUUUGAAUUUUAAUGAUGUCAUUUAAAGUUCUAAAUUUAUGGAAUCUCAUCAAUUAUUUUUCUUUUAUACAUCAUGGUUUUUGUAUCCUAGGUAGUUCUUGCCUACCCUGAAUUCAUAAAUAUUUUCCCUUAUAAUUUCUUCUUAAAGUUUUACACUUUUAGGCUUUCUUAUUUAGGUUCAUAGAUCCCUUCAAGUUAUUUUCAUGUAUGGAAAAAAAGGGUUGAGGUUAAUUUUUUAUAUAUGGGUUCCAGGUGUUCUAGUGCCAUUUGCUGAAGACACUAUCUCUUCCUCGGCUCUUGAAUUGAGUUUAUAUUCUAUAAAAUGCUAACAUUAAAUAAUCUUUCAAAACUCAGUGGACCAUAUAUGUGUGGUUCUAUUUCUAGAUUCUCUGUUUUAUUCAAAUGAUCUAUAUGUCUUUCCUUACACCAACACUGCCUUGAUUACUGUAGCUUUAGAAGAAGUCUUAAAAUUGGGUGCUAAACGUCUCCCAACACUGUUUUUGUUUUUGUUUUUGUUUUUGUCUUUGGCUUUUCUGGGUCCUUUGUACUCUUACAUAACUUUAAAAUUUCAAUAUCCAGUUCUUCAUUUAUAGCAAGUAUACACAGACCUCAAUUUUUAUAUAUACCUUGUGUUUUCUAAUCCUGCUAAAUUCAAGUACAAGUUCUAGGGGGCCCUAGAGAUUUCUUAAUAUUUUCUCUGUAGAUGAUCAUUUCAUCUACAUAUAAAGAUUUUGCUUCUGCCGUGCCAAUCCUAUCCUAGUUGUGUCAUUUUAUUGCCAGACUAUUUUGGUUUAGACCUAUGUUUCAAAGUCUAAUGGACAGAUUGUAAGACCGAGGGCCUUACCAAACACUCUGAGGAGCUGACUACAAUGAAGAACACCCGGGAGGGAACACACAAGACAAGUUGGAAAGUAAAACAGACCUUUAUUAAUCUGGCCAGACGGCACCCUCCAAGCAAACAAGCUUAGAGAGGCAACUGGCUCAGAGUCCGAGGCUCUUUUAUAGGGGUUGCAAGGGGAAGUUAGCAAGCAGAGAUGACAAAGGCGAGAUGCUGAUGGUUAGGGGAUUUAGAUAGCAUGUUCCAGUACAUUUAGAUAGUAGAUAGCAUGUUCCAGUACAUUUCCUGUUUAUGGGGAGUUGGGUAAUUUCAAAGAACACUGUGCAUUCCGUAAACCUUUGUUUUUCUUCCCAGAAAUGACAUCACAUGUUUUACUCAGAAGGGGAGGGGGAGUAUUGAGUGAGGCAACAUGGAGUAACCUUUGUUCAAUCUCAUAUAGUCCCACAAGAUGAAGAGUGGGCAUAUAUGCCCUUGUUCCCCACUUUAGGGAGAGAACAUUGUAUCAUCUCUAUUCAUAGAAGGAGUUUUUGUUGGAAGUAUGGAGUACAUGUCUUUGAUCUGUUGAGAAGGUUCUGUUCUACUUCUAGUCUCCUGAUAGCUUUUACUAUGAACAGCUGUAGAAUUUAGUCCAAUACUCUUUCUCGAACUAGUGACAGGAUCAUAUGGCUUUUUCCUUUCCUCUGUUAAAAUGAUGACUUUUGGGGGUGGAUCUUCCAAUGCUGAACCAACACUGCCAUCCCUAUAACAAAACCACUUUCUACAUACUGCCAGAUCUGACUUUUAAGAGUUUGUUUUGUUGAACAAAUUUCUAUGUUCAUACUUUUUUCUUCUAUUAUCUUUAUCCAGUUUUAGAAUUAGCACAGUGUUGAUUUCCUAAAAUGAGGGGAGAAGUGUUCCUUCUUUUUUCUGCUUUAAUUGUUUGAUAUAAUUUAUCAGUUAAAAUAUUUAUGAGCCUACUGUUGUCAUAUAGGUAGGUUUUCAAGCUAGAAAUAUACUUUCUUUAGUAGGUGCUAUUCAAAUUUUAUAUUUCCUCCAGAGUUUCCUUAAUUUGUCUUCUAAGUUACUUCUUAGAAGUUGUCAAAUUUAUUUCAAAACAGAUUUUUGUAAUAUGCUUUCUAUAUCCUUUUAAAUUCUGUAAAAUCUGUGGUAACGUCCCUAGAUCUUAAUAUUGUAAUUUAAAAAAUGUAUAACUGAUAUUGUGCAACAGGAAGAAAAGGUCUAAAAGAGCAGGG
ensembl:lncRNA